rnacentral:rRNA from 1 species
CGCGGCCUAUCAGCUUGUUGGUGAGGUAACGGCUCACCAAGGCGUCGACGGGUAGCUGGUCUGAGAGGAUGAUCAGCCACACUGGAACUGAGACACGGUCCAGACUCCUACGGGAGGCAGCAGUGGGGAAUAUUGCACAAUGGGCGCAAGCCUGAUGCAGCAACGCCGCGUGCGGGAAGAAGGCCCUAGGGUUGUAAACCGCUUUCAGCAGGGAAGAAAAUGACGGUACCUGCAGAAGAAGGUGCGGCCAACUACGUGCCAGCAGCCGCGGUGACACGUAGGCACCAAGCGUUGUCCGGAUUUAUUGGGCGUAAAGAGCUCGUAGGCGGUUCAGUAAGUCGGGUGUGAAAACUCUGGGCUCAACCCAGAGACGCCACUCGAUACUGCUGUGACUUGAGUACGGCAGGGGAGCGGGGAAUUCCUGGUGUAGCGGUGAAAUGCGCAGAUAUCAGGAGGAACACCAGUGGCGAAGGCGCCACUCUGGGCCGUAACUGACGCUGAGGAGCGAAAGCAUGGGUAGCAAACAGGAUUAGAUACCCUGGUAGUCCAUGCCGUAAACGUUGGGCACUAGGUGUGGGUCUCAACCAACGAGAUCCGCGCCGUCGCUAACGCAUUAAGUGCCCCGCCUGGGGAGUACGG